rnacentral:rRNA from 1 species
CCUACGUGAGGCAGCAGUGGGGCAUAUUGCACAAUGGGGGAAACCCUGAUGCAGCGACGCGGCGUGAGUGAAGAAGUAUUUCGGUACGUAAAGCUCUAUCAGCAGGGAAGAAAAACCGGCCUUAGGGCCGCCAGACGGUACAUGACUAAGAAGCCCAGGCUAACUACGUGCCAGCAGCCGCGGUAAUACGUAGGGGGCAAGCGUUAUCCGGAUUUACUGGGUGUAAAGGGAGCGUAGACGGCAGCGCAAGUCUGGAGGGAAAUGCCGGGGCCCAACCCCGGAACUGCUUUGGAAACUGUGCAGCUGGAGUGCAGGAGAGGUAAGCGGAAUGCCGAGUGUAGCGGUGAAAUGCGUAGAUAUUAGGAGGAACACCAGUGGCGAAGGCGGCUUACUGGACUGUAACUGACGUUGAGGCUCGAAAGCGUGGGGAGCAAACAGGAUUAGAUACCCGAGUAGUC